GAGUUUCCAUUGUCCGCUCGAAUCUCUGUAUCAGACAAUCUGAAACUCUAGUUUUAGCUCCAAUUGAUCACGAUUGGGAGCUUACUAAUUUACCUAUGUUAGAAGACAAGGGGAUUUCUUCGGAGAUACAAGAACUUUCUCCUCUCUCAUCCUCUAAUACUUCAACGAUGGAGGCUCCAGUGUCGCCACAAGCGCUGUAUCCUGUUCUCGACAAUACUGGUUCUCCUGUUGUAGUUGUACUGCCUUCAUCCUCCUCUCAUGUUACGUUAUCACAGUCACCGCCUGACACUCAACAAGUUGUUGAAAAUCUGGGCCGC
rnacentral:lncRNA from 1 species